GCCGGAGGAGGCCAACGUUAUCCGGAAUUAUUGGGCGUAAAGGGUACGUAGGCGGCUGGUCAAGUCUGGGGUCAAAGGCCACAGCUCAACUGUGGGAAGGCCCUGGAAACUGACCGGCUAGAGUGAGGUAGGGGUUGCGGGAAUUCCCGGUGUAGCGGUGAAAUGCGUAGAGAUCGGGAAGAACACCUGAGGCGGAAGCGCGCAACUGGGCCUCAACUGACGCUGAGGUACGAAAGCUUGGGGAGAGAAUGGG
rnacentral:rRNA from 1 species